GCAGGCAGUCUCUGAGAGGAGCACAGAGGCGCCUCUUGAUUUCUUGGGUGCAGCAGCUAACUGGCUUCAGAAUCUCACUUUAGUCGGCAGGCUACGGAACUGGGGCCGGCGGCGUUCAACCUGGAUCAUGUGGAUCAAGUGCCUGUGUCUCUGUGCAUGAUGUCAGAGUCUCUGAUACUGAUAAAAUCAGCCGAAGGUAGCUGGGGAUGCAAGUGUUCCACGACAGGACAUUCACGCAGCACUGAGUAUAGCUCGUUCCCUGGCACGAGCUGUAGGACAUCUGGGCAGCAAAACAACAACAAACCCCAGCCCUGUUCAGAAAUGCCCCCUCCCCUCCCUCGCAUGGUCACAACGGCUUGGUGCCCGAGAAGUACAGAGACAGGCCAUUCUCAAAGCCCGUGUCCUCGAGGUGACGCGUGCAGAAGCCACCUGUGUGGACAUUUCAUCACUUGGAGUCUCUGAUUCAGGGGUAUCACCAUUUGUCGGAGCCAAAGAGCAAAACCGUGUUUAGUUUGGCCUCGUGACAUUCACGCUUGGAAAAAUCUCAGGGUUGCAAAGCCUUCUUCACAUUCACUCUCAAACACCCGUUGCUGUUCAUGAGGGAUAACCACGUACGCCGAAAAGAAAACAUGCCCUUUAGAAUUGAACUUGGACCUUGGGGAUGAAGGGAUCUCCCCAGCUAAUAGCUGAUGGGCAUUGCACAGUCUUGAAUUUGCUCCCUGCUGACCUGACAUCAUUGAAUUUGGAGAGGCAGAGCCAGGUUCAUCCAGGGGUAGUAGAGAAGAAAACUGUUUUGAAAAAAUAAAAAGAAGAAGAAGAAGAAGAAGAAAGAACAAAAGGUGAUUAUAAUUCAGGCUUUUAAAUUAAGUCACAGAAAUCCCUACCUAAUUAUACCAUGAAAACAAGCUCUUGCUCCAAGUUCCUGGGAAAGACAAGGUUGUGGUGGAUUUAUUCUUGUUUACGGCUUUCCAACAACCACACCAGCUUGAUCCACUCUUUUUUUUUUUCUUAAAGUAAUAUGAUUAGACUCCUCGAAAAAAAAACUAGAUGAAAUAUUUCAAUUUGGAAACCAAUUUUCAUUUCAUUCUUAAGGAUUCGUGGUAAAGGGAAACAAAUGGUAAAAAAAAAAAAAAAAAAAAAAAUUAUCUCGGCCCACAGAAAAUAACAAACCUUGAGUUAUUUUCCCAUCAUUAACCUUCUUGACGCCGAAUGGGAACUAGAGGCCAGCCAGUCACCGACGCAUCAAAGUGCAGAGAAUCAUAGGAAUCGCCGAGAGGAGACAAAAAGCACCCAAAAGACAGUUCUUGCCUUUAAAAACGUGUAAGGCAAGAUGUCAGUGCAAAUCCCGUGGACAAGGUUACAUUUACUUUCUUGCCUUGAACUUCUCUCUCUCCCUUUUGCAAAAGACAGUGGACUAAGGGGUCAGAGGAGGUGGGGGCGUGGGGGGUGGGAGGGGGAGUCGAGAUCCUCAGUAAUCUAUGAAGUGGGGGUGUAGGCGGAUCUCUGAACGAUCGGGGCCCUUACCCAUCUUCGUAAAAGCAUAGGGAUUAAGAGGACAGGCUUUGAAAAUAGAUGAAUCUGAGCCUGGUCACUUGAACCUUUCCAAGUCCCUGUUUCCUUAUCUGUCAAACGGGAGCUACACGGCUGCUCUCCGGUGUGGCCGAAGGAUUUAGCAAGGGCUUGGCAAAGAGCAAGAGCUCAAAUAAACAGUCGUCUUUAUUAUUCUCAACAA